rnacentral:rRNA from 1 species
AGAGUUUGAUCCUGGCUCAGGAUGAACGCUGGCGGCGUGCCUAACACAUGCAAGUCGAGCGAUUCUCUUCGGAGAAGAGCGGCGGACGGGUGAGUAACGCGUAUCCAACCUACCCUUGUCCAUCGGAUAACCCGUCGAAAGGCGGCCUAACACGAUAUGCGGUUCUCAGCAGGCAUCUAACGAGAACGAAAUGUGAAGGAGAAGGAAUGGGGAUGCGUCUUGAUUUAGCUUUGUUGGCGGGGUAACGGCCCACCAAGGCUACGAUCAGUAGGGGUUCUGAGAGGAAGGUCCCCCACAUUGGAACUGAGACACGGUCCAAACUCCUACGGGAGGCAGCAGUGAGGAAUAUUGGUCAAUGGACGAGAGUCUGAACCAGCCAAGUAGCGUGCAGGAUGACGGCCCUAUGGGUUGUAAACUGCUUUUAUAGGGGGAUAAAGUGUGCCACGUGUGGCAUAUUGCAGGUACCCUAUGAAUAAGGACCGGCUAAUUCCGUGCCAGCAGCCGCGGUAAUACGGAAGGUCCAGGCGUUAUCCGGAUUUAUUGGGUUUAAAGGGAGCGUAGGCCGUUUGGUAAGCGUGUUGUGAAAUGUCGGGGCUCAACCUGGGCAUUGCAGCGCGAACUGCCAGACUUGAGUGCGCAGGAAGUAGGCGGAAUUCGUCGUGUAGCGGUGAAAUGCUUAGAUAUGACGAAGAACUCCGAUUGCGAAGGCAGCCUGCUGUAGCGCAACUGACGCUGAAGCUCGAAAGCGUGGGUAUCGAACAGGAUUAGAUACCCUGGUAGUCCACGCGGUAAACGAUGGAUGCUCGCUGUUUGCGUCUGACGUAAGCGGCCAAGCGAAAGCGUUAAGCAUCCCACCUGGGGAGUACGCCGGCAACGGUGAAACUCAAAGGAAUUGACG